UAUUUAAGAGUAAGAGUAGCGAUGCUUAAUUGCAGUGACAAAGUUUGGCGUUUGGCUCUGACGGCUGUUUAAUGUUAACUUUAUCUAAAUGCCGCUUUAAACGUGUUAUUUUGACGUCCUUUUAACAUGUACAUUUCUGCCCAAAUAUGUCUGCUCGUCAUAGUUUCCGUGCUUGCUGUCGGUGCGACAAAAGUGGGGAAGAAUGUCCUUUUCAUAAUUGCUGACGAUCUGAGGACAUCUUUGGGCUGCUAUGGAGACUCAAUAGUAAAAUCACCAAACAUUGACCAACUGGCAUCCAAAAGCCAUGUUUUCCUCAAUGCAUAUGCACAGCAAGCUGUAUGUGCUCCUAGUCGCACAUCCAUGUUAACAAGUCGCAGACCAGAUACAACUAGGCUGUAUGAUUUCGACUCCUACUGGAGAGUUCAUUCUGGAAACUAUACCACACUUCCACAGUACUUUAAAUCAACAGGUUACAUAACCAUGUCUGUGGGCAAAGUCUUUCACCCUGGAAUUGCCUCGAACCACACGGAUGACUUCCCUUACAGCUGGUCCAUCCCUGCAUACCACCCUGCUUCAUUCAAAUUUGAAAAAGAGAAGAUGUGUAAAGGAGAGGAUGGUCACCUCCAUGCCAACCUGCUGUGUGCAGUGAAUGUCACAGAGCAGCCCGGAGGAACACUCCCUGACAUGGAGAGUGCCGAUGAGGCGGUGAGGCUACUGAAGACUCGGGUUGAGGAUCGUGCUCCAUUCUUCCUGGCUGUGGGCUUUCACAAACCUCACAUUCCUUUCAGGGUACCGCAGGAGUACCUGCGUCUCUAUCCUCUAGAAGAAAUGACUGUGGCCCCUGACGCAGAUAUUCCCAAACGCCUUCCACCUGUGGCUUACAACCCCUGGACAGACAUUAGGAAGCGAGACGAUGUCCAAAAGCUCAACAUCAGCUUCCCCUACGGACCAAUUCCUAAAGACUUUCAACUUCGUAUCCGUCAGCACUACUACGCUGCUGUGUCCUACAUGGAUGCUCAGGUUGGACGUCUGCUAAGUGCACUUGAUACCCUGGGGCUGGCUCAGAGCACAAUCGUGGUCUUCACCUCUGAUCAUGGUUGGUCACUGGGCGAGCAUGGUGAAUGGGCUAAAUACUCAAACUUUGAUGUGGCAACACGAGUACCUCUUCUCAUCUAUGUUCCUGAGGAUCCUGCAGCCCACAAGGGGACUUCCUUUCCCUUUCUUGAUGUCUUUAGCCAAUCAGAACUCACCUUCAAGUACAAUGAAGUUGUCGGCAAUAUGGUGGAGCUGGUUGCAGUUUUUCCAACAGUCUCCCACUUGGCUGGUCUGAAAACACCUCCGCCAUGUCCUGAUGUUUCUCUCCAGACAGAGCUAUGUACGGAUGGACAGAGCCUGGCCCAUGUCUUCCAUCAUAAAGAGAAAAGAAAGAAUAGGGAGACCUUGGCUUUCAGCCAGUACCCGCGUCCUGCUGACACACCACAGGAGGACUCUGACCUCCCUUACCUCAAGGACAUAAAGAUCAUGGGCUACUCUCUGCGCUCUUGGGACUACAGAUUCACUCUGUGGCUGGGCUUCGACCCCAAAACAUAUCAGGUGAACGUGUCAGACGUCCAUGCUGGAGAGCUGUACAUGCUAGAAGCCGACCCCUCCCAGGACAACAACGUCUACGAUGACUCUGACCACAGUGUGAUGAUGAGGAAGAUGAAGAGCCUGCCUCCUACUGUGAGUGUAGAGAAGAGGAUGGAGCUGCAGCUCCUCUGCCUCACAGCAGGAAUGAAGAGGAGCAGGAGGAAGGCGUGGCGAUGACGGAAGGAAAGGACUGUUUCUGACUUGGAGGACAUGGGAGCACCUACUCCAGGGUAUAACCGCUUCAACACAAUGUUUUAGUAGUAGUAAGUAGAAUGUUGGUGUGCAUGUACAGUCUCUCAAUAUUUUUAUCUUUUUAUUGCAGGUUUGAAUUAUGUCACAACAGGCACAAUAAUCCCUAAUGUUGUGCCCGUAACCCAUGCCAAACUCAACUCUGAACCUGCGACAUCACUUCCUGUUUGCCCGCCACUCAGCUCCCUUAGAAUACAUGUAUACAUACAUACAUACAUACAUACAGUACAUACAUAUAUACAAGUAUUACCCUGGAAUACAUUUUUUUAAUAUAUUUAUAAUUUUAAAAAAAUAUAAUAAAAAAGCAACGUUAUACAUAUUGUGUUUUUUUUUUUUUUACCGAAAUUUCCCGACUAUACAACACACCCGGUUUUACAUUUUUAAACAUUAUUACAGCCAUCUAGACAUGAAAUAACACCCAUAUAGUGGCCUUUACGUUGCUAUUACCCAAAAUAGUAGAUAUAAUCAGAGAAAAUAAGAAUCGAUGGUGGACAGGAAGUGACGUCUGGGAUUCAGAUUUGAGUCUUGUUGUGGGCUAUGGCCGCAACAGUAACCAGUGUUUUUAUGAUUAUUAUGUUGUUAUUAUUGUGCCUGUUGGGAGACAGUUUAAACCUGCACUAAAAGGCGGUUGUUCAAGUCUGUUGGUUUGGUAAUAAUUGCUUAAACUAUUUGUAUUUUAGUUCAUUUAGCCAUUUUUAUGUUUGAAAAUGCUUAAUUUGGGCAAAAAAUAUACGUACAAUUAGUUUAAAUAUGCAUUUUUUCUGACUAACAGGCCGUAGUCAAUCACAAAAUAGUGAUCAUUUAUUAAUUAAUGUUUAAAAACCGUGAUAGAGUGAGGGAGUGAUGUUCGAACUGCGAUGUAGCGAGGCAGAACGGUAUACUGUAUUGUCAUUCAUAGUAGUGAUGUCAUAUUUCACAGUCUGACGGGUUUCUGGCUGCCCUGCUCUUGCGAGACAGCUUUUCUCCGAACGAGAAAGGGAGAAAGGGAGGGUUCUGCACAAGGGUGCAAGAAUUUUACAGCUUAAAGAGACGACCGUCUUCAUUUCGAAGAAAGAAAGAGAAACCUACCACAACACAGCAAGUUUCUUCUCAGCGAUGGUGGCUGAAUGGCUGGUGAAGUUCUUCAACCUCAUGGCAUACCUGAAGACGAGAGACACUAAUUAAUAGGUGACAGGUUAAGGUUAAGGUUAGGUGGAUUUCAUUCAGACAUUGGACAUUUGGCUGUCAAUCUGCAGUGUCUAUGCUAAAGUGGCCAAAGGAAGCUUUACAAGACGCUGUGGAAGAAUAAGUUUGACCUUUGGUUAUUGAUUGGGGUUUUCACAAAGAGCUAUGGAGGUCAUCUGUUACCUGCUGCCCUCAGUGAUCCAAUCAGCUACAUUACUGCUUCCUGAGGUGCUUAAUCAGUCAAAUGAAAUUCAGCAGUGACAGGUGAAUCAAGGGAGACGACUUACACCUUUAUGCUUUAUUGAUCGCUUGCAAAAUUUUCGUCCUUCCUCCUGCUCCCCUCCGCACUGAGAGACCGAAAGUGCAAAUUAGCAGCCCUGAAGCUAUAGCAAAGAGUCAGUGUCUUGCUCAAGGACACUUCAGCAGGAUGGAUGUGCUUGAACUGGAGGCCUUCAGCCUUCAACUCAACAGAGGUGCAAGCUGUUUGUCAUACAUGACAAAGUCUCACUUUGCACACAUUAUGUUGAACUUAAUAUGACUUCAGCAUACCUGUCAACAUUCGAAAGCAUUUGAAAAGAAGGGAAAUUAAAUAUGGAAAAAUAAGAAAAAUUCCCCCCACCCUCUUAAUGGAACACUAUGUUAUUUGAAUCGUUGUGGUGGGGUGCGUCAUGGGCGUAAAAAAAUGAAACAAUAUAAUGUGGUGCAGGUCCGCAUAGAGCCAAGUCAAAUCAGUUUUAUUUAUAUAGCUCCAAUUCACAACAGACGUUAUCCCAAGGCACUUCACCCACGCUUCUCAUAUAUUACAGAGAACCAACUGAACCCCACAUGAACAAGCACCUGGUGACAGAGGAAAAGGAAAAACCCCAUCUUAGGAAGAAACCUCAAACAAAACCCAAACUCUGUGGGGCGGCUGCUUGUGUUGACGGUUGGGUUGAACUAGAGAGACAGAGUAGAGGGGCAGAGUGUAGCUAGAGAGACAAAACAGGAUACAGGAGUUUAGCGACGAGGUAAGGGAUGUACGAAGAAUGGGCAACAGCCAUAUCCACAACAGUAAUAGUCCCAUGAUGACAGUAACAACGGUAAUGGUGUCCGCCCCCAACACCACCACCAAGGAAGUCCGAUCCACGGAAGACAACAGCCAUGGUUUCAUCUCUUUCCUUUUCAUGGUCUUGUGCAUCAAUUGAUAAUAAUGUGUAUUAUCACCACCAUCUUCAGAAGAUGGUGGUGACGUUUCUAACUUAAACCACAGCUUGGGGUUUGUUGUUUUUAAUCUUACUAAAGGCUGAAAUUGUGCAAAUGUCCUGAUGAAAUACAGGGCAGAAACCUGAGAUGAGGCUGCCUCAAUAUCUCUUCUCGGCUUUGUGCGCAAACCCUGCCUACAGUCUGAGUGCGCUCAGUAAGUGCACUAAGUUAGAUCAUGGCGCUUUGUCAGCAUGUCUCCAAUAAUACAAUGUUGCAGAAAGAUUUAUUAUACACCGUGACUUUCUACAGCCUGUGCAAUGUCUUUAAUGUAAAUGUGGCAUCAUUAUUUUUGAUAAUCGAACAAUAAAAUACACAGAAAUGUCAUACGGGAGGCACUUGCAUUACAUCCUGAAGGGACGGAGGCAUGCGUGAGCUGGAAGAUGCUUGUUACUGCCAUCCUUCCACAGAGAGCAACAGCCAAUAUUGUUGUGGGCUUUUUUUUGACAGCUGGAGAGCAGGAAGUCAAAUGCAAGCUAUGUUUAUGCUCUCACUUUUUUUUUUUUAAAGUAAUUUGUCCAAAUCUGGUCAUGACCAGUAAAAAAAGGCUUAA